UGACUUUGGUCAAAGUCAAACUACUCUAAGUUUGACUAAUUUUAUAGAAAAAAGUAGUAGUAUUUUAAUCCAAGACAAAUAUAUUAUGAAAAUUUAUUCAAUUAUAGAUUUAAUGAGACUAUGCUAGUGUUGUAAAUAUUACUACUUUUUUCUAUAGAAUUAGUCAAAUUUAGAGUAGUUUGACUUUGACCAAAGUCAA
rfam:Oryza nivara chromosome 3, whole genome shotgun sequence.